UGUAUCGGUUCAGUAAUUCACGCAUGCGCAGUAUCAACAGGUCGCGCUCACAGUUCUCUCAGCACAACAUGUCAGUUCAGUGUACAGGAGUUACAUAUAACUCCGGGAUAUUAGUUUAUUUAGAGUCAGACCGACUGUCAGACGACCGAAAGUGUGUAACUUUAGUAACUUGUGGAUCAGCGCUGACUCAAGACGCAAACUGUUUAGAACGAAUCAGUCCGAUUUGGUGAACCGGUUCAUCCAGUUCACUAAAAAGAACCGGUUCAAAAGAAUGAUUCGUUCACGAACUGGCCAUCACUAAUGUUCACAUGUGCCCCUUUUUCUUGGUUAGCUGUUGGUUUUGUCUCUGCAUGUGUUCAGGGCAAUAGCGUGGAUCACAUACUUUUGUAAGUUUUUUUUAUUUUUUUUUGCACACCGGUACUGGAUUGUCAGAGUUUAGCAGAGUUGGUAUUGUUUUGCACCCUUGGUAAAGCGGAGCGAGUUUCACGGUGUUAAACGGUGAUGACUGGUGGAUGCUUCAUGUGGAAGAGUAUGACUCGUGAACUGAAGACGUGUCCCAAUAAAUGAUCUACACUCGUUUAGAGACUCUCUGUUCAUUUAUCGAUGCCAAGGGCUGCUACAAGGACCACUUCGUAAAUGAAGGGCCAAAAACAUGGCGGGGGACUCCACCCAUCCCUCCUACAACAUCUUUCAGCUUCUACCAUCAGGUAGAAGGUACAGGAGCAUCAGAGCCCGCUCUGCUAGACUGUGGAACAGUUUCUUCCCCAAGCUGCUAGAGCCCUGAACUCAAACCACCACUACCACCCCCUGAAUAUACACAGACGUCCUGUGAUGUGACCCACCUGACUGCCACCAGUCACACUCUCCUCAGCAUUAGCACACUGACACAUCAAAAAUGUUUAAAUGUUUACAUGCUCAUGGUGCACACCACAUGCACUAUUCUGCUACCAGCUGCUGACCUUGAAUGUCUCCUGUUGCAUGUGCACAAUAUCAAGGAAGCAUUGUAGUCUCCAUACCUAUAUUUACUGCUUGAGUGUAUCUCUUGUGUAUUUAAUUCUAAAUAUCUUGUUUAAUUGUAUAAUGUCUGUAUGGAUGUUGCACCGUUUGACCUGUGAGACACGACAUCUCGUUCCACUGCAUGUCUCAACAUGUAGUGAAAUGACAAAUAAAGAAACUUGAACUUGUACUUGAACUUGAACUACAUAGCCAAAGUCAAAAGCCAAAAGUUAUGGUGUUAUUAAAUGGUAAAAGUGGACACCAAAAUUUUAUGCAUGAUGUAAUGAUGUCAGUCUUGAAUCAGUUCAUGUGUGUGUGUAUUCUCUACAAACAGUGUGUCUAAUGAAUGCAGUCAUUAAUAAACUAAUAUUCACAAAGACCAAAUCAAUAAAUGGGGCGUGAAACAGGACGUGACCACACGCUGUCUGCUCCUCGGUGCGCAAACCGUGGAUUUUUGAAAGCACUUUGAAACGGUGAGUGUAAAUAUCUAAAAAAUCUUUCUGACAAUAAAUGAUUACCCUAAAAAUGAUGUUAGGUAAAUGUUAAUAAGUUAAAUUAGUGUAAAUGUGACGAUUGAUGCAAAUUUUUUCUAAUUUUCUGUCCAUUCACAGUAACAUGAGCUAUUUCUAUCAGGUCACGUUUAAUAACAUUAGCCAGUGUUACUGUAUAUAUUCCCAGUUACAACAUUUGUAUUUCGCUAGCAUAAGUUUUUUUUCCAGUGGUUCAUAUAAGCAUGUGUAAGUUAUGUAUGUACGUUACACGUGCUUGUCGCUAACGCUAACAUAUAUCUCUGGUGUAAUAAAACUUAAUACACAACUUAAACUGUUUAAAAAGUGUAGUCAUUAGCAGAUAUUCAUUAACGUUUUACAGUGAAAGUGAUUUGCUAAUUGAAACGUUUUCUUAUGCUCUGUUUUCACAGGUUAUUUUGAAGAUGCAGUGGAAGUUUUGUGAAUUUUUAUGUGACAAACGAGAUUACUUAUUAAAACAUUAUAGUUAAUUGCCAUCAGGGCUAAGCUAGCUUCAGAAGCCAUGCCUGUUUUUUGUUCUCAACAUGCAAAGCGUGAAUCUUUGAACAGAUUCUUGUUCCGAUUGUCCAGUCAGUGCAGUAAGUACUCUUAACAUUUACCACUGUAUGUUACAUCUGCAUGUUGGUGCUCUAUUGAUAUGAGUUAACAGUUAUCCACUAACCAGCGUGUGCAGGAGUGUGUGCAGGAGUGUGUGCAUGUGCUCUUUUCCCUUUAUUUUUAUCCAGUUUAAUGCUUUAUGGUUGAACACUGUAUUUCCUCUAAACACUGUAUUGUUAACAUUGUGAACUUGAGUAUAUUGCAGUGUUACCUGUUUU